UACCGGGGGCGCACACAGCGGCAAUCACCCUGAGAACAUACCUAAACGUUGCCUCGGCGGGAACAGACGGCCCCGUGAAAACGGGCCGCCCCCGCCAGAGGACCCCCUAACUCUGUUUCUAUAAUGUUUCUUCUGAGUAAAACAAGCAAAUAAAUUAAAACUUUCAACAACGGAUCUCUUGGCUCUGGCAUCGAUGAAGAACGCAGCGAAAUGCGAUAAGUAAUGUGAAUUGCAGAAUUCAGUGAAUCAUCGAAUCUUUGAACGCACAUUGCGCCCGCCAGUAUUCUGGCGGGCAUGCCUGUUCGAGCGUCAUUACAACCCUCAGGCCCCCGGGCCUGGCGUUGGGGAUCGGCGGAGGCCCUCCGUGGGCACACGCCGUCCCCCAAAUACAGUGGCGGUCCCGCCGCAGCUUCCAUCGCGUAGUAGCUAACACCUCGCGACUGGAGAGCGGCGCGGCCACGCCGUAAAACCCCCAACUCUUCUGAAGUUGACCUCGAAUCAGGUAGGAAUACCCGCUGAACUUAAGCAUAUCAUAGCCCGGGAGGCAAAAGGGUUCGUUUCGAUUUUUGGAAAAGAAAAAAAAAAACGGCCUUUUUUUUUUUUUCUCCUUAUCUACCCCACAAUAACAA
rnacentral:misc_RNA from 1 species